UGGCUGGCUCCCGGGAAGGGGAGAUGCUGCCUGUGCUGGGGACACUGCACAAGAGGCCUGGGGAGAAGCAGACCCUGGAAGACGAGCUGGAUUUCUGUCUCUUCUAGGGUGUUUUUCCCCGGAUGGUUGCUUUUUCCAAAUCUCCAGAAUGGUUCCCUAAAGAAGGACACAGCAUGGAUGUUAAGAUCUCACCCAGUGAAAUCUCAUUUGUCCCCGGAGCUAAGCACAGAAGGGGAAAGAUCAGCCUAGAGCGGGACCAUGCAGUGAAUUCUGCGCUGAAAACAUCUUGCGGCCAGAGCACAGGCGCCUCCUGAGAGCUAAAGGUUACGUUUUCUCACCAGGCUGUCUCUUCUCCACGCUAAUGAAAGGGAAAAGGGAACUCUCUUCAGGUCCUUCUGUUUCUCAUAUAAAAUUACUCGUACAUGUUGGUAAGCACAGGCAUUUCCUGUGCGUGUGUGAUAUGUUAUUGAAUCCCUCGCUGAUGGACUGGAAAUGCAAUACAUGAUUUAAGGUCUACAGUAGAACCGUCUCCUCUUCCACACGCUCAUCAUCUUACUGUGAAAUUACACAGUCGGGAAGGACCUCGAAGGCUUCCUCAUCUCCAUCUGUCCAUCCCUUAAACAAUUUUAAUCGUAGCCAUUGAUUCCUCAUUCGCUCUCAGUUCUUUGACAAAGGUUUGUUAUUCAAUCGUGGCAGGCAAGAUGUGUCUUCCUGGGGGAUGCAAUAAUAAUAAACAGAGAACCCUGCCUCCGCGCACAGACUCUGCGGAGGGGAGGGGAGGAGACCGAUCAUCCCUUCCAGGCUGCACCGUGGGCUGCACUGUACUUGAAGGCAGAAACAGGGAUGGCUUAGUGACCUGAGGAAUUGGGCUGGACCCGGAGGACAGGGAGGUGGAGAGGGCCUGGAGGACGGUGUGGCGCAGCCCGAAGACUGAGCACCAGGUUCCUAGGAGGAUGUGACGUGGGAGGGCUUCGAGCCCCCUGAGCUGCGGACUUCCUCAGGGUUUCUGUUGUUCACUUUCCUCUUUAUCCCCUAAAAUAGUGGAGAACACUGCAGGGGGAAACGCCUGACUUGUGUCUUGAGGAGAUGGCUAAGUGGCAUUUUCGGCAUCAGAGGGUUCCUGAGAGAAGUUAGAAAUCUGCUGCUCUGGCUCCUGGGGGACACGAUGGUGCUUUGGGCCCGGGAUUGUGGUGGUGGAGGAAUAGAAGGGGCUGGGAUUAGGAGGGGAGAUUACUCUUACUCGGUGGGUUGAAUGGGAUGGUGCGGAAAACGUGAGAUUGUCCAGCAUAACUGCUGGGCACAGAGUCAGCAUAACUGCAUGGCCAUCGACCUCAGCUUCCCAUGAGGGUGUGCUUUCUACUGGAAGGGGACACAUUUCAUUUGGAUUUGGUCUCGGAUCUAUGAAUGGGCAACUGGGUCAUUCACUAAAUGAAUACUCUUUUUUGAUCUUUUUGAGACAGCGUUUCUCUAUGCAGUUCAGGCUGGACUUGACCUCACUAUGAUCCUCCUGUCUCAGCCUCCCAAGUAUGGGGAUUACAGGCAUGAGCCACCAUACCCAGCUAAUAGUUUAAGCUUUUGAGUUAUGGAUAUGUAAGAGAAAAUGGGUCUUUGUGGGUUGGAGAGAUCACCUACACUAAAGAAUAUAUAGUGAAAAGGCCUAAAACUAGGCGUCACUGACUCCGGCCUCCAAUGGCAAAAUAACUGCUUUUUUUUUUUUUUUUUUUUUUUUUUAGUUUACAAAUAAAUACCUAGGGGAAAUUUUGUUAGCAAUGCUUAUAAUGCAAGCUCAGAGGUUACACUGACCUGGAAUUCUGCCAAAGAGCCAUUGACCAAAGCAGGGCAGAACUGCCCUGUAGCUGCCCAAGGGUCCACCUCCCCUCCUGGUCCCUCUGCCCUACACUCUCUAGGCGGCCACCAUCCGUCCUGACGGUGCACGGCUUCCCAAAGCUCAGCUCCAUCAUCUGCCUGCCUUCCUCUGUGUACUCAAAGGUCUUAAAAGUCGAGGGGCCAGGACUGCCUGAGAACGUUCUUAUCCUACGCUGUGAAGAGACACAACACGCAGAGGCACAGGAGGGAGGCACUGACUGCCGGGGAAAGGUGGGCAAGGCCUGAGAGGAGAGGGGUGCUUACCCUGCCUUGAACUAUGUCUUACAGAGUUUUGUUAUCGUGGUUGGUUUUAUUUCAUAAGAGAAUUCUAAAUUCUGGGAAUUAAAAUUUUAUAAAGUCAAAGAUGGUUUCUGAGACCCAAUUAAAAAGCUGAUAUAAGGGGAGGACAGAACGCAUCUGGGAAGGAGGUCAAGAUGGACUUUGAUGCUGGGCAUGGUGGCACAUGCCUGUCUCCCAGCACUCAGGAGGCUGAGACAGGAGGAUCCUUGCACAUGCAAGAGCAGCCUGGGCUCCAAAGUGAGCUCAAGGCCAACCUGACUGCAUAGCGAGACCCUGUCUCAGGAAAGAAGAAAAAAAAGAAGAUGGACUCUGAGACACAUUUUGUAACAGAAUCAACUGGAUUCUUGGUCCUGUCAGUGCCGACACGGGAUGGGGGUACCCCUCAGGGUGGGGUAGCUCUCUGAUGAGUAAUCCCAGAAGUCCACAUCCCUUCCCUUCCCUUCCCUUUUCUUCCCUUCCCUUCCCUUCUGUUUGCUUUCUUUCUUCUAUUUUUUUAAGGAAUGCCUAAAAUAAAUAAGCUAACUAGAACAGAGAGGAAAUGAUUUCUGAUAUGGCAAGAUACAGUUUGGCACAGUAGCUCCAGUUUCGAGUCCGAUGGCUAUAACAAGUCACUUUAGAUAUUAGACAUGAUGGCUUAGACUGACCAGGGCAAUGCUGUGACUGUGCUGUGAGAGCUGGGAUGGGUGCUUCUCUUCUCGGGGUCCCCGGCUCUCUGAUGUGUUAGGACAGGGAACCACCUUUCCAGGCUCAUGUGGUGUUCGGUUUCCCCUCAGAGAGUCAGCUAUAGGGUAUACCUUGACUGCCUAGAGAACAGUGCUCAGCAAAACAAAAGGACAAGCCCCUGCCCUUGGACAUGGGCGGGCUGUGAUGGCCCCACGGUGCCUUCCUGCUGUCUGCAGAGUUCACAUGGAGCUGCCUGGGCUUCGUUUCUCAGACCCCUCUUCCCCUCUGGAUCCCACUUGCGCACAGCUUUCCAAAUCUGGGCCUCCAGUUCCUCCAGGGUCGCUGUUAUUUUUAGGUCUCAGGAGCAAAGGUUCUGAGUAAGAAACCCGAGACUCUGAGGAGUCCUCACCCUCAGCCCCACAGGUCCCGGACCAGAGCCAGCAAUGCACAUCCCUGCCCUGGUUUAUUUCAAAUAGGACUGUGUGCAUUUUGGUUAAAAAUAGAGGAAAUGUUUUGGACGAGUUUUGUAUGCAGGAAAAGGAGGAGAGAGAUGUGGGAAGCAACGACAAACACAAGAGAAGCCGCGACGUGGCGGAGGGUCCCGGGCCUCCCAUCCGUCAGGUUUAAUUUAUCUCCUAGGAGGAGCUCAGACAACUCUGACAGCAGAAGCGUAGAUUGCUCCUGCCCUUAGACCAUUUUCUUCGAUGUGUUUGCAACGUGAUUUUUGUUGAUUUCUCCCAGGGAUUUUUUUCCAGAUGAAUAAUUAAUUGGAGUCCAUGUCAAUUUUUCAUAGUCAUUGAGUUCUGGAGAAAUCUUCCUAGAGUUAAAACUUUUGAUUUGUGGAAAGGGAAAUGUUAGAUGUUUUGCUUUUCUUGCAGCUUUAAAGUUGUCUAUAUCCGUAUGAGAUUUAUUACUGAAAACUCAGUCUUCACAGAAUAAUUUCUGACACUUUCCUUGUUCUGCCCUUUCUUUCACUGCUUCCACAAUACCCAAGGAAUCAUUUAUUAUAAGCUUGAGCAAUUUGUAUUUUAUUAAUUUUAGUUCAAUUCAGCAGCCAUUUAGCACAACAGAGUGGAUUGUAAAAAAAAUAUGUAGCUCUUGCCUGC